rnacentral:rRNA from 1 species
GACGAACACUGGCGGCGUGCUUAACACAUGCAAGUCGAACGGAAAGGCCCUGCUUUUGUGGGGUGCUCGAGUGGCGAACGGGUGAGUAACACGUGAGUAACCUGCCCUUGACUUUGGGAUAACUUCAGGAAACUGGGGCUAAUACCGGAUAGGAGCUCCUGCUGCAUGGUGGGGGUUGGAAAGUUUCGGCGGUUGGGGAUGGGCUCGCGGCUUAUCAGCUUGUUGGUGGGGUAGUGGCUUACCAAGGCUUUGACGGGUAGCCAGCCUGAGAGGGUGACCGGCCACAUUGGGACUGAGAUACGGCCCAGACUCCUACGGGAGGCAGCAGUGGGGAAUAUUGCACAAUGGGCGGAAGCCUGAUGCAGCAACGCCGCGUGCGGGAUGACGGCCUUCGGGUUGUAAACCGCUUUCGCCUGUGACGAAGCGUGAGUGACGGUAAUGGGUAAAGAAGCACCGGCUAACUACGUG